UUUCCGGUUGAUCCUGCCGGAAGAUACCGCUGUCGGGGUCCGAUUAAGUCAUGCGAGUUACUGGUCUUCGGACCAGAGCGGACCGCUGAGUAACACGUUGCUAACCUGCCCUUGAGCGGGGAAUAACCUCGGGAAACUGAGACUAAUACCCCAUAGGAUGCUAUUUCUGGAACGAUUUGCAUCCCAAAGCUUCGGCACUCAAGGAUGGGGCAGCGGCGGAUUAGGCUGAUGUUAGGGUAAUUGCCUAACAUACCUAUAAUCCGUAGGGGCUGUGAGAGCAGUGGCCCCCAGAUGGGUUCUGAGAUACUAACCCAGGCCUUACGGGGUGCAGCAGAUACGAAACCUCCACAAUGCGCGUAAGCGUGAUGGGGGGACCUCGAGUGCUGGCGUUAAUACGUCAGCUUUUCUGGAGUUUAAAUCACUCCAAGAAUAAGUAGUGGGCAAUACCGUUGCCAGCCGCCGCGGUAAUAACGGAGCUACAAGUGGUAUCCAGUAAUACUGGGUCUAAAGCGUUCGUAGCCGGUUCUACAAGUCUUUUGUGAAAUCCCAUAGCAAACUAUGGGGCGUGCAGAAGAUACUGUAGUGCUAGAGACCGGGAAGAGUCGGGAGUACUCCUAGGGUAGCGGUAAUAUGCUUUAAUCCUAGGGGGACUACCUGUGGCGAAGGCGCCCGACUGGAACGGAUCUGACGGUGAGGGACGAAAGCCAGGGGAGCAACCCGGAUUAGAUACCCGGUUAGUCCUGGCCGUAAACAAUGCCCGCUUGGUAUUGGAAGCUUUCAGUGAGCUUACAGUGCCGAAGGGAAGCCGAUAAGCGGGCCACCUGGGGAGUACGGUCGCAAGGCUGAAACUUAAAGGAAUUGGCGGGGGAGCACUACAAGGGGUGCGGUCUGCGGUUUAAUUGGAUUCAACGCCGGA
rnacentral:rRNA from 1 species